rnacentral:pre_miRNA from 1 species
UUAACCCAUUUAACAACUCAACCCAUCAAAUUAAAUGAGUUAUGAGUUGACCCAACCCAUUUAACAAAAUGAGUUGAGUUAACACAUAACUCAUUUAACUCUAAACUCAUUUGAUUAUGAGU